rnacentral:rRNA from 1 species
GCGGAAAGAGGUUGCAGUGAAAAGGUGGCUGCGACUGUUUAACAAAAAACACAGCACUGUGCAAACACGAAAGUGGACGUAUACGGUGUGACGCCUGCCCGGUGCCGGAAGGUUAAGUGAUGGGGUGCAAGCUCUUGAUCGAACGCCCCGGUAAACGGCGGCCGUAACGAUAACGGUCCUAAGGUAGCGAAAUUCCUUGUCGGGUAAGUUCCGACCCGCACGAAUGGCGUAACGAUGGCCACACUGUCUCCUCCAGAGACUCAGCGAAAUUGAAGUGUUUGUGAAGAUGCAAUCUCCCCGCGGCUAGACGGAAACGACCCCAUGAACCUUUACUGCAGCUUUGCAUUGGACUUUGACGGGACAUGUGUAGGAUAGGUGGGAGGCUGUGAAGCGGUGACGCCAGUCAUCGU